GACGAACGCUGGCGGCGUGCUUAACACAUGCAAGUCGAACGGAAAGGCCCUGCUUUUGUGGGGUGCUCGAGUGGCGAACGGGUGAGUAACACGUGAGUAACCUGCCCUUGACUUUGGGAUAACUUCAGGAAACUGGGGCUAAUACCGGAUAGGAGCUCCUGCUGCAUGGUGGGGGUUGGAAAGUUUCGGCGGUUGGGGAUGGACUCGCGGCUUAUCAGCUUGUUGGUGGGGUAGUGGCUUACCAAGGCUUUGACGGGUAGCCGGCCUGAGAGGGUGACCGGCCACAUUGGGACUGAGAUACGGCCCAGACUCCUACGGGAGGCAGCAGUGGGGAAUAUUGCACAAUGGGCUGAAGCCUGAUGCGGCAACGCCGCGUGCGGGAUGACGGCCUUCGGGUUGUAAACCGCUUUCGCCUGUGACGAAGCGUGAGUGACGGUAAUGGGUAAAGAAGCACCGGCUAACUACGUG
rnacentral:rRNA from 1 species